AGUCAAGCUUCACCAGCACAUGUGCAGCGUCCUCCUUAACUAGUCAGGGAAACACAGCAAACACAAAUCGCAAGCUAACUCAUCUGCGGUCACUUCCACAGAGAACCACAGUUUUUGCAUUCAGUGUCUCUGGGAAAGGAACAAAAUGGCGUCUGGCAGGAGAUAAAGCUGGUGAGAAAGAGACCUAAUGAACUUGGUGGAGGCGCCGGAGACCAAGACCACACCCAUCAUGUCUCCUGCAAGUUUCUCAGUGGAAAAAUGAACCUUCUCCACCAGCAGAUGGCAAAGAAAGUAAAAAAACCUCCCUGCACUCUGCCACAAAUCUUGAUUUUCCACAAACUUACUCCUGGAAUCUCUAUUCUAGUGCUGGAUGACGCAUGGUCUCUAUUUUAACCCUGUUCCUUGUUGCCUGUAGUUUCAUCCUGUCCCCUUGGGUAAGCCUCAUCAUAAAAAUCUAGCUCAUCCGACUUCAUCUGUGUUUUUAUUGCUGGACCUAUUACACCAUUUUGUGAUGUAUUUAUUUACCUAUCUGCUCUGCCAGACUGUGAGCCCCCUGAGGUCAGACACAGUGUCUUACUAAUUUCUAAUUCCCUGUUGCCUCUGCUUGGCAGGUGGAAUGUGUAAAGUAUAUGUUAAUUGAAUUUAAUUGAAUUGCAAAGAUUCUGAAGAACACUGCUGAGGGUGUCUCUUUGCUUCUGUUCAAUUAUUCUCCUUAGUGUUAAUUGCAAAAACUGGAAUCACUGUGGCUAAAAGGCACAAAUGUGUCUCCUUACUUGCCACGAUGUUUUCUCAAAGCGGGUCCUGAUUUGCAGCACCCCCUGAGAUGAACACCAAUAUCACCAUCACCUUGCCAGCCCAUCAAUUUAAAAAACGCUAAUUUAGUAGAUGUCAAAUAGCAUUUCUCAUUCAAGGUUGCUUUGAUUUACAUUUCUCUGAGUACUACCAGGGCUGAACAUUUCUCAGGUGUUUAUUUACUAUUUUUCUCUUGGGGGGAACUGCUUGUUUAUAUUUUUCGUCCGUUUAUCUAUUAGAGUAAAGAAAUAUAACUAAUAAAUUUGAAGAAGCUCCUUUUAUAUUUUAUACAUCACCCUAUAUGCUGUCACAUAUGAUCUAUAUUUUUCAUAUGCUGUAUUUCGUUUUCUUACAUUUUUGCUGUAUUUCAUUGUACAGAAGCUUAAAAUGUAUAUACAUAUUUACCUAUCACUUUUUUUUAUGAUUCCUUAUGAAGUUUCAGGGGAAAAAAGUUCUCUUUCAUGAAUCUGCUAAGUCUUUUAUCAAUGCUCUGUUCUUUUCCCAUAAUAAAAAAAAUCAAGUCAUUAACCUCGCUAA
rnacentral:lncRNA from 1 species